UGCGUAGGCGGAUUAAUAAGUCAGUGGUGAAAACCUGCAGCUUCACUGUAGAACUGCCAUUGAUACUGUUAGUCUUGAGUACGGUCAAGGUAGGCGGAAUGUGUAAUGUAGCGGUGAAAUGCUUAGAUAUUACACAGAACACCGAUUGCGAAGGCAGCUUACUGGACCAUUACUGACGCUGAGGCACGAAAGCGUGGGGAGCGAACAGGAUUAGAUACCCUGGUAGUCC
rnacentral:rRNA from 1 species